UUGGGCAUCAAGAAGGCCUUUUCUGAAGUUGCUUUCCAGACGAGAGAAUCCACACUUCUCUAUGACUCUCAACUCUAGCAAGUACUAAUUUAAUCAUGUUAUUAUUGUUUUUUAUUUUUUGCAACCCCCGUUUGAUUCCCAAGAAAAUCCAUUCCCCAUUCGAUUUUCGGGAAAAUCCAUGCAAAACCCUCAAGGAAAACAAAAAAAAUUGCUUUUUUUUUUUUGCUCCUUGUGUUUUCUAUUUGCAAAACCCCCAUUUGAUUCCCAAGAAAAUCCAUCCCUCAUUCGAUUUUCGGGAAAAUUCAUCCUUGUUUGAUUUUUCAAGAAAAUCUGUGUAAAACCCCCAAGGAAAACCAAAAAAAUUGCUUUUGUUUUUUUGCUCCCUGUGUUUUCUCUUUGCAAAACCCUUGUUUAUUCCCAAGAAAAUCCAUCUCCCAUUCAAUUUUUGGGAAAAUUCAUCCUCGUUUGAUUUCCGAGAAAAUCCAUGCAAAACCCCCAAGGAAAACAAAAAAAAAUUGCUUCUUUUUUUGCUUCCAGUGUUUUCUGGAUUUGUUCUAGGGGUCUCUUUGCUUUUGUGCCAUUGGAUUUAAAUUUCAAGAACCCUAAAUCCACGAUUUUUGAGCCAGGCUGAAAAACACAAUCUUUGCCUACAAAUCAUGAUCAGACUACAACCUAUGAAUUACAUUGGUUGGUUCUAAUUAUUGAACCAACACUCUGCCUACCAUGUGAAUGAACCAAUUGACUGGUGGGGAUACAACUUGCCAGUUUUUAAUAAACUUGAAAGAUGUUGAGAAACUAUUACUUCACUAAAUUUCUUUUUAUGUAAGAUUUGGGCUUGUGGAGGUGGAAUUUAUGGAUUAAAUGUGUGAAAUCAAGUUAGCAAGGCUCUCCUUGCAGAAUAUAUCGCAGUGCAGAAGAGGAAUAGAUCAUUUAAAGGAAUGAGGUUAGAACACAUGAACAAAUCUUGCCCUGUCGUUCCAUCUCAGCUCACAAGUUCUACUCUCAGAAGUAUCCAAUUCUAGAUUGAUAUAUUCUUCUUGAUGGAGCGAGAUCUAUUAAUCCAUUUUGCUGCUGAGAUAUCACAGCUUCAAGCACAGGGCCUAAGCAGAGAGUAUGCACUUCUUCAAUUAUCAACUUGUAGAAGACUUGGGGAGAGCUUUCUCAGAUCGAGCAAUUUUGCAUACCUUUUUAGAUGUUGAGGCAACUGUGUCUUCUGGUCCACUUAAGAGCAUGUUAAGUUUGUUAAGAUCCAUGCAUGUCUUGAUUAUCUUGGAAGAAGAUGCUUCCUUCCUCCGAUAUGGUUACUUGUCACCCGACAAUGCUGCUGGAAUUAGGAAAGAAGUAACAAUACUCUGCAGUGAAUUGUGACCACAUGCCCUUGCCUUGGUCAGCUCCUUUGGCAUCCCUGAUGCAUUUUUGAGCCCAAUUGCUUUCAAUUGGAUCGAUGCAAAUUCUUGGUCGUUGGUUCAGCCCUAACAAGGGGCCACAAUUCGUCUCUAGAUUUAGAUGAAUCAAAACUUAUAUUGCCUGUGGCUUUCUAGAUUCACUAUUAUUAUCUAAUAAAGAUUCGAAGUUUGGGUGUUGGAAAUUUAAGGCUUUCCUAUAAAUUAAUGCUUCAAGAUGGAGGCAAGAGACUUGGUUGUAGAUAUAUAUAUGAGCAACUUAAUUUAAGUUUAUGUAUAUUGUCUUAUAGUGUGUUUUUAAUUUCAUUGUAUAUUAUAUGAGUUUCUUCUAUAUAGAGAAAUUGGGGAUAACUUUAAACAAGUUCAUUGAUUUGUGCUUUAAUUAAUAAUUAAAAGUAUUUUAAAUAUGUUUUGAUUAUAUAUAAAAUCAUGAUAAUUUGAUUGUCA